GUUAGAAAAGCCAGUUAUGGCUCCUGCUUCUGAAAGCAAUGGCCUGAGAAAGAAGAGGUCACUUAGUGCCCAGGGCCUGGCACUUUAGUGCAAAUAGUUCACACUCUUGGCCUCAUGUUGAGCAACACACCUGGUAGCAGGAAGAAGACCUUGAAGCAGAUGAUCUGCUACACUGCUCAUAGCACUUGCUCUGUGGGGAAGCUGUGCUCAUUUUGAAUUCUGCUGUGGAUGAGAAGACAAACCAAUAACCUGUGGUUUUUAAGAAAAUUUUGCAGCAUUUAAAUACGGUAUAAGGCGCAAAAGCAACACUUGGUAACAAGCUAUCCAUAAGAACCAAAUCCUCAGAGACUCGUCAGAUGUCCAGAUAGUGAUUUUUCUUCAGUGACAGCAAAACCCCCGGCUAAGCCACUGCAUGUCUCUGGGGAAGGCAGUGUCUGGCAGGGAUCUGACCGAAGGUUUGUCAGGAAGAGCAGAUGGGCAGGAGGAUGCUUCACAAGGAGGACUCCUCUGUGCUUUGCACACGUAUCCAUGUAGCAUAUCCUCACUACUACAAUCAGACCAACAUGAUGGUGGUAGUGGCACAUUCAUACCUGAAGUGCAGCUUCCGUUCAAAGAACAGCUUCAGGAGUCAAAUUAUUACAAGGACUCAUUAAAUGUCUCUAACUCUCAGGAACAUAGAAAAUACAAUUAUCACUCUUUCCUUCUCUCCCUCAAAAAAAAGGUGAACCAUGUGACAUGGCUAUGAAAAUCCCAAAAUAAUCAUUUGAAGGAUAUAGGUCACUUCAAAUAACUCAUCUAUAUCUUUUGAAAGAUUUUCCUAUAGCCAAAAUAUUGGAAUGUACGCAGAGACACAGCAGGAAUUACUAACAAUAUUGAUAAGAUUUUAAAAUUAUGAACCUUAAGAAUGUUUAUAAUAGCAGCUAAUAGCAGUUAAUAAGGAUCAAAGCAAGAUAUAUACUAACCUACUGAUUUGUUUUUGGUAACAAUUUGUCAUUUAAGUGACUGUUAGUAAAUCUAAAUUAUGUAAAAUUUUUGAUGAAUAUCUUAGGAUGGCAGAAAUAUGUCACAGUCAACUUAUUUGCUUUGCUUCCAGGUAGACUUAACUAUAACUUUUUAUUGACUUAUCAUGAUUACUUUCCACUAACUUAUUUUUUACUAUUUAAAUUAAAAAAUAGAAUGAAAUGAAAAUCCCAUAAUAAAAAUUACUUCCCAUUUUGAGAUUUAUGUUCAGACAUAAAAUCUUUAAUUUCCAUCAAAAAUACGUUAGUUAAUUUUAGGAACUUAUGACCACUAUCUUCCUAUCUUUUUCUUUUCAAGAAUAAACUCUAUUAUAAUCUGAGUAAAAAUCUAUAUCAACUUAUUGCUUCAGAAUUUAUUCUAUUCCUACUAUCAAGGUCAGCAAGACUGACUUUAGGCAAUUCAGUUCAACAUUCUCUGCUGAGCAUAAUUCAACUAUGGAUAAGGAGAAAUCAACUAUGAUCUUAGAGAAAAGAAAAUGUCAAGAAAAGGCUUUUGAUUUCUUAUGAUAAAAAUGUGCUUUAAAAAAAGUUUUAGUCUCCUUCCUUUAUAGUUAACUCAGACUUAAAUUUGUUAUAGUCUUCUAUUCAAUUACUAUAAGAAUUUUUUCCCUUCAAAUAUUUCCUGCAAACCUAUUUCUGAGUCCACUGCAACCACAGAGAAGGAAUGACUAAAAGUUGCUGUUGAGUAAAAGAAAAGGGAAAAAUAAGCAUAGAAUGACCACUGAACUUUUAAUAGAGGCCAGGCACUCAGCUGAGUGUUUCUUUCCAAACCAUAUAAAAAAAAAUCUCCAUCUGUUUUAGAAAACAUGGAGGUAAAUUGCAUGAAAUUGAGAGGUUGAGACUAGGCAAGAGAUAAAAUAAUAGGAAAUGAUCGAUUACUCUUCCUUGUUAAGUAAACAACAACAAAGAAACCAUCAAGGUCAUCUCUUUAUUUAAGGUUACAUUUUAUAAUUGUACAUUUAUAAAUUGUACAUUUAUAAUUGGCAUUUAUUGGUACUCUCUUGAUUAUAAAUUGCCUUAUAAAUUUGCUUUCUGAGAAACACAAUCCUUGGAGAAUGUAUUUGUCUUUAAAAAACAAAAAAGCAAAAAAACAAAAAGAUGGGAACACUGAAAAUUGUCCUUCGGGAAACCAUUAGAGCUCACAAGAAGGAAACAAGCAAAUAGCCCCAUCAACUGUCCAUGUAUAUGUUGCUGUUCAUCUUCCUAAGGGGGAAAUAUUUUUUAAGUGUUAUAUCAGAAUCGAAGAUGAAAUCAUUUUCAAAUUCUGGGAAAAUAAGAGUGUUUGCAUAAAUUGUUUGCGUAUUUUUAAUGAAUGCAUGUAUUUCAGUACAAUUAUGCAUCCUAACCUACUGCUACUUGGUGCUCCUUGCACACUUUGGAGAUAUCCUCAUCACAGGUCUUGCAAGUGUUCUACAAUCUAAAUAUAAAGGUUUCAAAUAAUUUUUGAAUGGCAAUCUUCAGCUGUAUACACUAAGCACCCACAAGAAACCACACAUCUCAGAACAUUUGAUAAAUGAUUAUUGUUCUUGUAUACAAAAAUUUAUUUUUAGUAUCUCCUGACUUAACUUGUUGGGUCAACACUAAAAUGUAUUUGGCUCAACUUAGCUUUCAUUUGAAGAAGUAACUUUAACUGAGUAUCUUUUAAAAAAGACGAAAAUUUGAAAGAGGGAGCAUAAAUUAGAGGAAAAAAAGGAAAGAAAAAAACAGAGAUCCUCAUACACAUAAUUAGGGAAACACGCUACACAAAUAUAUACACAGAUUUCAGUUUCUCUAGAUAUUAUGAUCCUUAAAAUUUUUCAUGUUUCUCUUUAUCAGCAGUUAAAAAGGUAGAUAAUAUCUAAAGAAUAUACAGAUAAAUAGUUUUAGAUUUUAAUUAGGUUAGAAUCAACAAAAAUAGCGUAAAAACUUUUAUACCAAAUAAAUUCAUUCAUUAUAAAUGUUUUGGCUCCAUAUAGCCAAGAUACUAAUAUUGGUUUUAGAUGGCGAAAUAAACAACUUGUGAACAAGAACUCCAGGGAACAUAUUUAUGGGGAGGGGGGCAAAGAAUUACGUAAAGUCACUCCUUUAAUAUUUGUCAAUCUUAGAAAGUAAGAAUAAUGGCAUGAACAUGAAAAUAGUAUCUGGAGAUAUCUACUUCAAAUGAUCCUAUAUGUUUACAAUUGAACACGCCCUCUCCAAAUAUUUCCCAUUGAUAGAAGAUUUUAAAAAAUAAAACAAAACAUAGCUUCUUAAAAAUAAGGUAACUCCUCGAGGAAGAAACAAGAGAAACCAAAGCAACGAUAGGCUGAAGACAAAGGCCCAUGGAAGUAACAAGCUUAGAGCAAGACGGCAACACUUUGCAAUUUUGGCUGCCAUGGGGGUGAGGAAAUUGAAGCCGUCUGCAUUCCAACUGGGAAGUAAAUCUUGGUGCUCUGCUUAGAACUGCGGUUUUCCCUGGGUCUCCUCUGCUUGUAAAAGGACAUCUAAGAAAAACUAUUUGUUGCUCACACAGCCUGUGCUGUGGUUUUCAGCAGUAAGAGAGCAUUGGAAGGUAGGAAAAUACAGACAUUACCUCCCAACUGAAAAUUGAAACGAGUUGCAGGCAAUUGCCUUCUGUGGUAUCUGUGUCACCCACAAGGCACGGGUCCCAUAUUGCCAGAUCCUGGAGGAUGAUGAUGGGCUUCUAUAAACUCACUGCAGGUGGCCCAGUUGUAGUACUGUGCCAGAUGAGUUCUCUUUGCUAGAAAAGAUAAUUGUUUCAGGUACUUGAUAUGUGGCCAUUGAUCUGGAAAAUAUUCCUUUGCUUUCUCACAGAAAAGAUCAGAAAUAGUUGCAACAAUAGACAAGAGUAUAUUUUGACAGUCUUUCUCCCAGAUAAUGCUAACUCUUCCACCCUCUGUCAUAAUAUUGUCCAAAGGGGACUGAGGCAGUCAAAUAUGCCAUAAAAUAUCACAAUGCCCAUGAUACUAAUAAUAUCCUAUUAACUGGACCAAUUAAGAAAGGAGCAACAAACAUAUUGGAGGCUUUGGUAAAACACAUGCUACCUAAAGAAUGGAAGAUAAACUCUAUGAAGACUCAAGUUGCUGCCACUUAGGUAAAACUUUUAAGGUUCUUGUGGUCAGAGACAUGUCACAACUCCACCAUGAAAUAAAAGGCAAAGUUUUGGAUCCCAAAGAAGAAUCCAGAAAAGGAGGCCCAAUAGGUGAUCAGCUUCUUUGGGAUCUGAAGACCAUGCAUUCUACAUUUGGGAAUAAUGAUCUGGCCCUUAGACUAAAUCAAUCACACAGAAUGAUGCCAGCUUUGAGUAGGCCCAGAGUAGGAAAGGAUGUGCAGCUCAUUGAGACUAUAAAACAAAUAGAACAGCUGCUUGACUCAUUGUCCCAGGACUGUAAGUUGUUGGAGGUGUCGAUGGUGAAAAAAAGAGUGUGAGGUAUAUGUCAAGCUCUUGGUUUCUGGAGCAAUACUAUAUCUUCUGCAAGCGACAAUUAUGUACCUUUUAAAAAAACAGCUCCUAACAUGCUACUGGAACCUGCAGAACAUUCAAACAUGGGUUCCAUGUAAUGCUGCAUAUGAAGUGUCCAAUAUGGGCUGGAAUCUGACAGACUCACCAACUCAGAGAUUUGGGCAUGUCCAGAAGUAACUCAUUAUAAAUUGGAAAUGGUAUAUCUAUUAUUGAGCCCAAGAUAAAGCGUAGGAGUAAACCUCAUUAUUUCAUGGUCCAUUUAUUCUAGCAAGUUGUACCAGCAGUGCUCCAUCAGAUAUUACACUUACAGCCUUGUGAGUUGGGAUCCUUUAUGACUAGCUGACAAAGGCAGAAAAAUCAGAGUUUGCUCUGUGAAUAAGUAAGUCAACUUGGGUUGUGUGCACCUACUGAAAAUGCAGCUACACUACAGCCGUAUUGCUAAUGUCCUGAAAAAUAUUAAGAGAAAUCUUCUCAAUGUGCACUAUAUCUGCUCAUCUACUUGGUGUGGAAAGAGAAGAAUCCCAACAUUAGAAUAUAUACAGCCACAGUAAUGGCAAAAGACCCAGCUGGUUGGACAAAGACCUGGAAUAUUUGAAUAAUGAGGCUAAAAAAUUCUGGGCAAAAGGCAUAUGGAUGGAUAUAUGGGAGUGGACCCCAAUGAGGAAGAUCUUUGACUUACGUGUUAACAUCCCCCAGGAAAGUUUGAACACAGAAUAGACCCAAUUCAUCAAUCAAGUAGAGAAUAACUUGCUAAUUGACUUUAGUCAACCACUGUCAUCAGUCACCAGAGUACUGGCAAAUGGGUGCAUCAACUGAGUAGGCAUGGGUCUGUCAGUAUGGUCUCUCAGUCACCAAGGCUGAUCCAGCUACUGAUGAUACCAAAUGCCAGCAAGAAAGAUCAAAGCUGAGCCUCCAAUAUGACACCAAAAACCUUACAAAUUUCCUAAGCUCUGUGGAAAAUGACUAGAUCAGACCUCUUCAACCUUGGAAGGGGCAGUAAUUAACAUUCAUUGGAAUUGGCAUAUAUUUUUCCCUUUUCCAUUCACAGGAUCUCACCCAGCAGAGUUCAUGUUUGAUCCAACACUAUGUUACUAAUUAGUAUAGUGCAAUGUCUGGGAUCCAAGAGGAGGUUGUAGGAGUGGUCUCAUCUCUUAUCACCCUAAAUUACCAUUUUGGUGAAUUUGCACUUCUUGCUGUGACUCUUAAUUCUGUAGGUUUAAAAGUCUUAGAUCUCAGAAAAGGGAGAAUACUUCUACCAGAUGACAGGAAAAUAUAUUAUUAUAUUUUAAACUACAGCUGCCACCCUGUUGCCAUCAUGAAGGAUAAUUGAUACUUCAAAUCUUUUUCUCAGAGUUUGCUUUUUAGGGAAACUGACCUGCUACCACUCCCUUCUCAGUGAGGCUUUCCUGACUACCUUAUUUAAAAUUAUACCUCCGACAUUUCCCAUUCCUCUUUUCUGCUUAGCUUUUCUCUUUGAUGCCAUCUAAUGAAGCUACUUAUUAUACAUAGGUAUAUUGUUUAUUAAAACAUGCUGGGUAGAGAGUGUUACCCAUUUUUUCAUUCCUAUGUCCCAACGUAUCUGUUUCAGCUAACUGGCCACAGUAGUACCUCAUACCAAACUAACCCAAAACUCAAUGAUUUCAAAUAAUACUUGCCACUCACAGUUAUGCAGGUUGGUGAGGUGAUCUAUUUCAUUCUACAAGUCUGCAUCCCCCAGGGCAGUUACUAGAUAUGUCAUCAUUCAGAGUCUUUUGAUUUGCUACUCUCUAGUAACAUUCUUUGGUUUAUGUUAUCCCAUCUAUAAUUUUUUAUCCCCUGUAAUAUAUAUUUUAUAGAAAGCAUACUAUUUUUUGUAAAUUCACCAAAUUGAUGCCUCUAAUUUUAACCUUUAACCAAAAAAAAAAAAAAGUGCUACCUUUGAUCAUACCUAAAAUGUAAAAUAUGCAAUAUCAUUUCCCAGAAGUUUUGUCUUUGUCUACUAGGCACCAAAUACACUUCAUGGAUUUUUGAGAGAAGAUCACAAGAUUUCAUUGUCAACUAUUUUAGAUCCAUAGUUCCUAUAUUGUGAUUUCAAGAAACUUUUGAAAGAAACCUUUAAGAAUGCUUUUUCACUUUAUUUCAAUGCACAAAGAUUUUAUUUAUGAACAUUUUCAUAUAUUUAUAUGCAAAUAGUGUUUCUUUGAUGUAUCAUUUUUGAAGGCAAAGCAGACAUGUUUUGCCUCAGGCAUUUCACUCGUAUUAUGAGCUUUAUGAAAACAGACAAUAUAUUGUAGGACUUUUAAAGAAUUAUUGUAAAGAACUACAUGGUAAGCCCAUUCCUGUUUACAGAAUUCUGAUGUAGAAAAGCACUUCCAAAAAAAUACAUUACUAGAAAUUUAACGUGAAAGUUUUAUGGACCAAUAAAUUUAUUUUAAUGUGUUCAAGAUUGACAUAUACUUAUUAAACAAAAGAUAUGGUGUGAAAUAUUUAUAAAAGUAGUUUUCUUAAAAAACUGAUUUGACUUUUAUGAAAGAAGUAAAAUUUAAGGCAAUUAGAACAUUUAUAUCCACAUAUAUAGGCCAUACAUAAGAUAUCUACUUAUAUACAUCAGUACACAUAUAUGUACAUACUUUAUAUGGGUUACAUUUUGCAAAUAAAGAAAAAAUGUCUUGCUUUUCAAAGCUAAUUUAUUAUCAUCAUGAAGUUGAUACUCAUUUUCCACAAGUUUGUAUAUAAUUAUGAUGUGUCAUUUUGAUCAAAAAUAAACAUUACUUACUUACAAAGAUAACGUUUAUACUUUGUUCCUUAUUAAAAUUUGUGAUUUUUACUUUAAUUGGAAUUAUAUAAUUAUCCUUAUUCAAUCUAUUGAAGGC